AAUAUCUGUAGAGAUAAGAGGAAGAGGCAAAAGGUGUGGACUGUUUUCCUCUAUCGGCACAGUUGCAAUUAAUGGCUUUUGGGAUGAAUAACAAGCUGCGCAUUAAUACUGCUCUGGUUGCAUUUAUGCUGCUGCUGCUGCUGCUUCUAUUCAUCGUCGUAUACGUAGCUGAUGAUGGUACAGGAACAGGAGGAGUUAAUGACAAAGUUGCAAGUCUUGUUGAAGAUGAAGCCGCCGAGACCAAAACUACCAAAACCAAAACCAAAACAAAGCAAGAGAAUAAUCUCAUGAGGGGAGAAGA